GGGAAGUGCGGGCCGUAAGCCGCGGGAAGACGAACCGGGCAAACGUUGUUGGGGAUCACUGGGCUGAAAGGGCGCGUAGGCGGCGUGCCAAGUCAGGGGUGAAAUCUGUCGGCUUAACCGGAAAAGGGCCUUUGAUACUGGCAGGCGAGAGCGAGGUAGGGGCAUGUGGAACUUCCGGGGGAGCGGUGAAAUGCGUUGAUAUCGGAAGGAACGCCGGUGGCGAAAGCGACGUGCUGGACCUCUUCUGACGCUGAGGCGCGAAAGCUAGGGGAGCGAACGGGAUUAGAUACCCUGGUAGUC
rnacentral:rRNA from 1 species